CUCUUCCGAUUCUCUUUGUGCCCUGGCAAAGGAAAAGGUAGAGAGGAAGGGAGUAAGUGUCAGCUCAGUUCGGCAGAGUGCAAGAGUUUAACCCUGAAGUCCUGCAAGAUGACUGCAAGCCUCAGAGAUAAGUUGCUCCUCAGGGAAUCAUAGAAACAAGGGCGGAAAGCACUUCAAGAGAACGCGAGUAAGAGUGCAGCAGGAUCGCCUGUCAUCGCCUGCGGUGGGGGUGGAGAAACCUGGUCCUUCCAUGCCACCUAGUGUAGGAAGCAGAGCAGCAGUCCUGCGAAGAUGGGCUCUGCAAGCUGGGGUCAUUAAGUAGGAAAUAAUGGAUACCUGAAAUCU